UACGUAGGGUGCAAGCGUUGUCCGGAAUUAUUGGGCGUAAAGAGCUCGUAGGCGGUUUGUUGCGUCGGCUGUGAAAUCCCGAGGCUCAACCUCGGGUCUGCAGUCGAUACGAGCAAACUAGAGUGUUGCAGGGGAGACUGGAAUUCCUGGUGUAGCGGUGAAAUGCGCAGAUGUCAGGAGGAACACCGGUGGCGAAGGCGGGUCUCUGGGCAACAACUGACGCUGAGGAGCGAAAGCGUGGGGAGCGAACAGG
rnacentral:rRNA from 1 species